rnacentral:rRNA from 1 species
UACGGAGGGAGCUAGCGUUGUUCGGAAUUACUGGGCGUAAAGCGCACGUAGGCGGCUUUUCAAGUCAGGGGUGAAAGCCCGGGGCUCAACCCCGGAACUGCCUUUAAGACUGCAUCGCUUGAAUCCGGGAGAGGUGAGUGGAAUUCCGAGUGUAGAGGUGAAAUUCGUAGAUAUUCGGAAGAACACCAGUGGCGAAGGCGGCUCACUGGACCGGUAUUGACGCUGAUGUGCGAAAGCGUGGGGAGCAAACAGG